CAUGGACAGUCGACGGUAGCACAGAGAGCUUGCUCUUGGGUGACGAGUGGCGGACGGGUCAUUUAUGUCUGGGAAACUGCCCGAUGGAGGGGGAUAACUACUGGAAACGGUAGCUAAUACCGCAUAACGUCGCAAGACCAAAGUGGGGGACCUUCGGGCCUCACACCAUCGGAUGUGCCCAGAUGGGAUUAGCUAGUUGGUGAGGUAAUAGCUCACCAAGGCGACGAUCCCUAGCUGGUCUGAGAGGAUGACCAGCCACACUGGAGCUGAGACACGGUCCAGACUCCUACGGGAGGCAGCAGUGGGGAAUAUUGCACAAUGGGCGCAAGCCUGAUGCAGCCAUGCCGCGUGUAUGAAGAAGGCCUUCGGGUUGUAAAGUACUUUCAGCGAGGAGGAAGGCAUUGUGGCUAAUAACCGCAGUGAUUGACGUUACUCGCAGAAGAAGCAAUCACU
rnacentral:rRNA from 1 species